GACGAACGCUGGCGGCGUGCUUAACACAUGCAAGUCGAACGGAAAGGCCCUGCUUUUGUGGGGUGCUCGAGUGGCGAACGGGUGAGUAACACGUGAGUAACCUGCCCUUGACUUUGGGAUAACUUCAGGAAACUGGGGCUAAUACCGGAUAGGAGCUCCUGCUGCAUGGUGGGGGUUGGAAAGUUUCGGCGGUUGGGGAUGGACUCGCGGCUUAUCAGCUUGUUGGUGGGGUAGUGGCUUACCAAGGCUUUGACUGGUAGCCGGCCUGAGAGGGUGACCGGCCACAUUGGGACUGAGAUACGGCCCAGACUCCUACGGGAGGCAGCAGUGGGGAAUAUUGCACAAUGGGCGGAAGCCUGAUGCAGCAACGCCGCGUGCGGGAUGACGACCUUCGGGUUGUAAACCGCUUUCGCCUGUGACGAAGCGUGAGUGACGGUAAUGGGUAAAGAAGCACCGGCUAACUACGUG
rnacentral:rRNA from 1 species